UGGGGAAUAUUGGACAAUGGGCGAAAGCCUGAUCCAGCCAUGCCGCGUGUGUGAAGAAGGUCUUCGGAUUGUAAAGCACUUUAAGUUGGGAGGAAGGGCAUUAACCUAAUACGUUAGUGUUUUGACGUUACCGACAGAAUAAGCACCGGCUAACUCUGUGCCAGCAGCCGCGGUAAUACAGAGGGUGCAAGCGUUAAUCGGAAUUACUGGGCGUAAAGCGCGCGUAGGUGGUUUGUUAAGUUGGAUGUGAAAUCCCCGGGCUCAACCUGGGAACUGCAUUCAAAACUGACUGACUAGAGUAUGGUAGAGGGUGGUGGAAUUUCCUGUGUAGCGGUGAAAUGCGUAGAUAUAGGAAGGAACCCCAGUGGCGAAGGCGACCACCUGGACUAAUACUGACACUGAGGUGCGAAAGCGUGGGGAGCAAACA
rnacentral:rRNA from 1 species